GAAAACGGGAGAGAGCCGGGAAAGCCAGAGGUCUGCUCUUGCAUAACAUCCCAGGAAGCUUCCAGCUGCGGUGGGAAUGCCCGGAUCACUGCCCACAGAUCCUUAAAUGGCAUUGAAAGAGAAGGAAGGGCUGAGAAGCUGCUGCUGUGAGACCCCAACAGCUCUUCCUGACGGCUCCGAGGGGCGAACACGAGUGUGA
rnacentral:lncRNA from 1 species